rnacentral:rRNA from 1 species
UGAUCCAGCAACGCCGCGUGAGGGAUGACGGCCUUCGGGUUGUAAACUUCUUUCAGUAGGGACGAAGCGCAAGUGACGGUACCUACAGAAGAAGCACCGGCCAACUACGUGCCAGCAGCCGCGGUAAUACGUAGGGUGCGAGCGUUGUCCGGAAUUAUUGGGCGUAAAGGGCUCGUAGGCGGUUUGUCGCGUCGGGAGUGAAAACACUGGGCUUAACUCAGUGCUUGCUUCCGAUACGGGCAGACUAGAGGUAUUCAGGGGAGAACGGAAUUCCUGGUGUAGCGGUGAAAUGCGCAGAUAUCAGGAGGAACACCGGUGGCGAAGGCGGUUCUCUGGGAAUUACCUGACGCUGAGGAGCGAAAGUGUGGGGAGCGAACAGGAUUAGAUACCCUGGUAGUCCACACCGUAAACGUUGGGCGCUAGGUGUGGGGUCCAUUCCACGGAUUCCGUGCCGCAGCUAACGCAUUAAGCGCCCCGCCUGGGGAGUACGGCCGCAAGGCUAAAACUCAAAGGAAUUGACGGGGGCCCGCACAAGCGGCGGAGCAUGCGGAUUAAUUCGAUGCAACGCGAAGAACCUUACGUGGGUUUGACAUACGCCGGAAAGCCGUAG